UCGCGUGACUCUGGAAAUGCCAGAAAUGGUUCUACAGGUCAAAGUGCACCCAUACGCGUGCGUUUGACGUCAUCCCGGCUAAAGGGAGCUCCUUAUUGGCCAAGUAUUACGUAAUACAAUUGCGUGCGAGUAAAACCCGAUACCUUGAAAAAUUCAAAAUAAAUAUUUCUACUCACCGUAUUCAUACGAAACUUUCUAUACGAAAGCGCUUGAAUACAAAGAGUAUUUUACACAUAUAUCCUUUCAGAAAAUGACACCAAAGUUUAGAAUCUAUUCAACUUUUUCUCUUUUUCUCGUUUGAAUGUUUGGCGAAGCGGUGAGUAUAAAUAUAUGAUUGUUUCGGUUUGUGUAAUGUUUUGACGGCACUUGACCCCCCGUUCGAAAGGUUAUAUUGUGAGGAUUUCAAUGGUGGCAUUUAUUUAAAAGGGGGGUAAAUACUCGCCGAGAUAUUUAUAUUAGAAAAAUUGAAUCGAAAUGUAAUACGAAACUACCUGAUAAGAAGGAGUUCAAGAACACAGCGAUGGAUUUACUGGGGGGAUGCGAGGGGGGCACCCGGCUAGCCCUGGCCAGAGGGGGUGCAGGCGGUGCUAUUUUUCAAGAUAAAGCAAACAAUUA